rnacentral:rRNA from 1 species
CUACAAUGGCCGUAAACAGAGGGAAGCAAAGCCGCGAGGUGGAGCAAACCCCCAAAAGCGGUCCCAGUUCGGAUUGUAGGCUGCAACCCGCCUACNUGAAGUUGGAAUCGCUAGUAAUCGCGAAUCAGAAUGUCGCGGUGAAUACGUUCCCGGGUCUUGUACACACCGCCCGUCACACCAUGGGAGUCAGUAACGCCCGAAGUCAGUGACCCAACCGAAAGGAGGGAGCUGCCUAAGGCGGGACCGAUAACUGGGGUGAAGUCGUAACAAGGUAUC